rnacentral:rRNA from 1 species
UACGUAGGGUGCAAGCGUUGUCCGGAAUUAUUGGGCGUAAAGAGCUCGUAGGCGGUCUGUCGCGUCGGCUGUGAAAUCCCGAGGCUCAACCUCGGGUCUGCAGUCGAUACGGGCAAACUAGAGUAUUGCAGGGGAGACUGGAACUCCUGGUGUAGCGGUGAAAUGCGCAGAUAUCAGGAGGAACACCGAUGGCGAAGGCAGGUCUCUGGGCAUUAACUGACGCUGAGGAGCGAAAGCAUGGGGAGCGAACAGG